rnacentral:misc_RNA from 1 species
UCGUAACAAGGUCUCCGUUGGUGAACCAGCGGAGGGAUCAUUACCGAGUCGGCUCCUGCCACUCCCAACCCGUGCGAACCAUACCCGUUGCAGUUCCCGUUGCUUCCGGCAGGCGGCCCCGCGAGGGGCCCCAGGCCCCCGGCCCUGGCCGGGGGCGCCUGCCGGACGGCGGCGGGCCUCCCCGAACCUCCUGUACUUUGACCACCGUCUGAGCCUACAAACAACGAAUCAAAACUUUCAACAACGGAUCUCUUGGUUCUGGCAUCGAUGAAGAACGCAGCGAAAUGCGAUACGUAAUGUGAAUUGCAGAAUUCAGCGAACCAUCGAAUCUUUGAACGCACAUUGCGCCCGCCAGUACUCUGGCGGGCAUGCCUGUCCGAGCGUCAUUUCCCCCCUCACGCGCCCUGGCGCGUGGUGUUGGGGCCCUGCGGCCGUCCCCCUCGCGGGGCGCGCAGGCCCCGAAAGCCAGUGGCGGGCCGGCCGGUUGGCUCCGAGCGCAGUAGAGAACGCAAGUCCUGUAUGCCCGCUGCGGAGGCCCCGGCCAGCGCCUAGCCUUACCCCGCCCGCGGCGCCCUGGCGCGCCGCGGGCACCCCCCACACAAGGUUGACCUCGGAUCAGGUAGGACUACCCGCUGAACCUAAGCAUAUCA